rnacentral:rRNA from 1 species
GUAGGGGUCUAGCGUUGUCCGGAAUUAUUGGGCGUAAAGAGCUCGUAGGCGGUUCGGCAAGUCGGAUGUGAAAUCUCCACGCUUAACGUGGAGGGGCCAUUCGAAACUGCCGUGACUCGAGUCCGGUAGGGGAGUUCGGAAUUCCCGGUGUAGCGGUGAAAUGCGCAGAUAUCGGGAGGAACACCAGUGGCGAAGGCGGAACUCUGGGCCGGAACUGACGCUGAGGAGCGAAAGCGUGGGGAGCGAACAGGAUUAGAUACCCUGGUAGUCCACGCCGUAAACGUUGGGCACUAGGUGUGGGGCUCUAUCGACGGGUUCCGUGCCGUAGCUAACGCAUUAAGCACUCCGCCUGGGGAGUACGGCCGCAAGGCUA